rnacentral:rRNA from 1 species
CCUACGGGUGGCAGCAGUGGGGGAUAUUGCACAAUGGGGGGAACCCUGAUGCAGCGACGCCGCGUGGGUGAAGGAGUGCUUCGGCAUGUAAAGCCCUAUCGGCAGGGAAGAAGCAAGACGGUACCUGACUAAGAAGCCCCGGCUAACUACGUGCCAGCAGCCGCGGUAAUACGUAGGGGGCGAGCGUUAUCCGGAUUCACUGGGUGUAAAGGGAGCGUAGACGGCCAUGCAAGCCAGGGGUGAAAGCCCGGGGCCCAACCCCGGGACUGCCCUUGGAACUGGCAGUCUCGAGUUGGAGAGAAGUAUGCGGAAUGCGCGGUGUAGCGGUGAAAUGCAUAGAUAUCGCGCAGAACUCCGAUUGCGAAGGCAGCAUGCCGGCUCCACACUGACGCUGAGGCACGAAAGCGUGGGUAUCGAACAGGAUUAGAUACCCCAGUAGUC